ACCAUUGGAGAUUUUAGUGUCAUUGUUACUUCUCUGUUGGUGUUGGUCAAGGCAAUUUAGCUCACCACUAAUCUUCAUAAGUUAAUAUUCUAGUAUGAAAUUAGGGAAUGAUCCUUUUGAAAUUGAACUACUCAGGAAUAUUUCAAAUGUCUGUUGCAAAUAUUACAUAAGAGUUGAACCUUGGUUACUUGUGUAUGCAUUUUAGAUGUAGCUGAGCUACCACGCAAUGUAGAUGUGUUUUAUAUAAGCAAAUAUGCAUCUGCUAUGCCAUGUAUGCUAAAGAGUGUUUAGUUUAGACCCUGG
rnacentral:misc_RNA from 1 species